GACUCAAUGGACGUGAGUCUGAGUGAACUCCGGGAGUUGGUGAUGGACAGGGAGGCCUGGCAUGCUUCAAUUCAUGGGGUUGCAAAGAGUCAGACAUGACUGAGUGACUGAACUGAACUUAUGCACAGUAUUUGAAAAUUCAUUUAUCUAAGGUUGAGAAUAAGGUGUCAAAAAUGACUCUCAGGUUUCCAGCACAGGUGACUGGAUGGAGAGUGGUAUGGUGGAAUGAAAUAGGGAACAUUGGAAGAGGUUUAGGGUAGAAAGAAGAAGAGCAUGAAUUUGGUGUAGAUAUGGUUAUUCUGAGAAAUUUACAAAAUGAUAGGACAGCUGUCUAUAUGGGUCUGAAACUGUAGCUAUACCCUUAAGAAUGGUUGUUGGGAUUUAAGGGGGCCAAUGAAUAAUGUCCUCUACCUCCUGAGUUCAUAAUCAACUGAAAAAUAGACCUUGAGGAACAAAAUCUUAACUUUUUUUUUUUGGAUAAGCUAAAUUGUAUAGUUGUAAUCUGUACACAAAACUGGACUUUUAAAAAUCUUACCCCUGAAUUUAACCUGUUGGCCUCCACUGCUUGCCUCCCUAUUUUAGAAGCAGAACCUGCCCUAGUCAGAUGGUGUCAUUUAGGAGUGAGGACUUGGGUACUUGCUGCAGGGGGCAUGGAUCCAGAGAGAAAAGAGAGAGGAAAAAGAAGCACCCAAGCCACCAGUGAGUCACUUCCCUCAGAGGGAAGGACUGAGUGUUUCAGCAGGAAGCAAAUGGUGGACUUAAAGAGGGAAUUGAAGGGAUUAUAAGCAAAGGGACUUUUUGCAGAGGUGUGGGCAAAGCUAAGGGUACCAACAAGGGAUGUAAAAGCAUUCAGGAUCUACUACAGGGGAGUUCUAAUUCUGGGGACAAGAGGAGGGAGCUCCUACCAGAACUCAGGAGAGCUGUCACUGAGGCAGAGGGAUAAGCCUGUGCCCAAAGUAUGCCCUGGACUGCCCAAUGGGAGGGAUAGGCUGGGGUUGGGGUGGGGAGAAGUAUUCCUCCUACUCACUCUUCCCACCAUCCACACUCCCUCCCAUUGACCAAACCCACA
ensembl:lncRNA